GUUGUCCGAUUUGUUUGCGUUU
rnacentral:rRNA from 1 species